UACGAAGGGGGGCUAGCGUUGCUCGGAAUCACUGGGCGUAAAGCGCACGUAGGCGGAUCUUUUAAGUCAGGGGUGAAAUCCCAAGGCUCAACCUUGGAACUGCCUUUUGAUACUGGGGAUCUCGAGUCCGGAAGAGGUUGGUGGAACUGCGAGUGUAGAGGUGAAAUUCGUAGAUAUUCGCAAGAACACCAGUGGCGAAGGCGGCCAACUGGUCCGGAACUGACGCUGAGGUGCGAAAAGCGUGGGGGAGCAAACAGG
rnacentral:rRNA from 1 species